rnacentral:rRNA from 1 species
CCGCACGGGUGAGUAACACGUAUGCAAUCCACCUGUAACAGGGGGAUAACCCGGAGAAAUCCGGACUAAUACCCCAUAAUAUGGGCGCUCCGCAUGGAGAGCCCAUUAAAGAGAGCAAUUUUGGUUACAGACGAGCAUGCGCUCCAUUAGCCAGUUGGCGGGGUAACGGCCCACCAAAGCGACGAUGGAUAGGGGUUCUGAGAGGAAGGUCCCCCACAUUGGAACUGAGACACGGUCCAA